AAUCUUGUUGUUGUUGUUGUUGUUGUUUACUGCAAUCAUAUUAACCAACUAAAGUGUUUAAAGAAACAGGAGAUUUCACUUUGUGAUUUAGUUCCUACAGAUACCGACAAUGGCUUGUUUCACCCUAUGGAGGUCGCUUUCCUUCCAGCGACUUCUUCUGGGACAACUUAUACUUUGCUUACCCUCCCAUCCACAAAGCCGGUCUUCACAUUCAAUUUCAGCUCAACCGUCUUGGAGGGGAGAUGAGUGGACAAGUACAACCCAAUCAAUCGUCUACUUCACAACAGUGGCCAACAGCUGCAGAGGACAGGGUCUAUAUUGGCAACCGCAUGUGUUUUGUAUGCGUCGGGUGUGGUAGAGGGCUCAGUGAAGGGGUCGAGAGGUAGACACUGACAGUUCAAGAUGGAGAAGUGAUAGUAUUAAAAAUGUCAUUGUUCUGAUUUAUUUUAUGUAAUAUUUACUUUGUCUAUUCCAAUAUUUCAGUAAUGCUCAAAGACAGCAGGCAAGGAUAGUGAGAACAUCCACUGAAAUAAUAUUUAAAAUUUCUGUAGCCAUACUAUUUGUUCAUCAUGAUAUUAUUGAUAAUGUGUGCUGUAAUUACAGAUGCUAAUAUUAGUUGAAAGGAUUGAUGUGGCUGAGGUAAAAGGGAGUCGUGAAGAUUCUGAUGGUGUUAGUCGGCUGUGUUGUCAGCUUGACCCACUCAAGAACUGAUUCUAUGGACUCUCAAGGACAUUGGUAAUAUCAGUACAUAAAGGUUGCCAAGAUCAAAAGGAAGUUUGGGAACGAAGAAGACAAGUCUAACUGAUCUUAAGAAGAGAUAUUCUACAAUCAACAUUGAUCAAGCCACGUUAACAAGUUGAUUCCUAAUCACAGCCGCUGUAUCAAUCUAAUUAAAUUGCACUGAGCUUUA